UACGGAGGGUGCAAGCGUUGCUCGGAAUUAUUGGGCGUAAAGGGCAGGUAGGUGGUCUUAUUUGUCUUGUGUGAAAGCCUUGGGCUUAACCCAAGAAGUGCGCAAGAAACGGUAAGACUAGAGUCCCAGAGAGGCUUGUGGAAUUCCCGGUGUAGCGGUGAAAUGCGUAGAGAUCGGGAGGAACACCAGAGGCGAAGGCGGCAAGCUGGAUGGGCACUGACACUCAACUGCGAAAGCGUGGGGAGCAAACAGG
rnacentral:rRNA from 1 species